rnacentral:rRNA from 1 species
UACGGAGGGUGCGAGCGUUGUCCGGAAUCAUUGGGCGUAAAGGGCGCGUAGGUGGCCCCUCAAGCGUGCGGUGAAAGUCAGGGGCUCAACCCCUGAUCGGCCGUGCGAACUGGGGAGCUUGAGCACUGUAGAGGCAGGCGGAAUUCCGGGUGUAGCGGUGGAAUGCGUAGAGAUCCGGAGGAACACCGGUGGCGAAGGCGGGUCUCUGGGCCGUUACUGACGCUGAGGAGCGAAAGCGUGGGGAGCGAACAGG